rnacentral:rRNA from 1 species
GACGAACCGUGCGAACGUUGUUAGGAAUCACUGGGCUUAAAGGGUGCGUAGGCGGGUUGUCCAGUCUGGGGUGAAAUCCCACGGCUCAACCGUGGAACUGCCUCAGAUACUUACGACCUCGAGGGAGGUAGGGGCGAGAGGAACUGUGGGUGGAGCGGUGAAAUGCGUUGAUAUCCACAGGAACUCCGGUGGCGAAGGCGGCUAGCUGCACCUCUUCUGACGCUGAGGCACGAAAGCUAGGGGAGCAAACGGG